rnacentral:lncRNA from 1 species
UACGGAAUCUGAAGCUUACCCGGAAUUCGAUUAAGGAUUGAUGAGGUGGGUUGUGAUCGCCGCGCCGCUUGAAAAUGAAGAGCUAAAUAUGGCGACCGGUUCAGGCCUUAUGUGGGCCAAACCCAAUUCAAUUUUUCAAAAAAUAAAAUUAAAAAUUCAUGCGAGAUAGACGGAAAUGAGGUAAGGUUAGGCGGUCCAGGUAUCAUGGGCCUUAACGGGCUAAGAGGCCCACCAUUUAAAAAGAGGGAAAAAAAAAAUGGUAUCCCACUACUUCAAACAGUUGUAAAAAACAGAAAACUCACAUUUUAAAAGAUUUAAACAAAUAAAUCUUUUAAGCGGUCCAGGUAUCAUGGGCCUUAACGGGCUAAGAGGCCCACCAUUUAAAAAGAGGGAAAAAAAAAACUAGAAAAUAACAUCCCACUACUUCAAACAGUUACAAAAACCAGAAAACCUACCUUUUAAAAGAUUUAAACAAAUAAAGACAUAAGCCCAAAGCCCAAUAACAGAUAGGAAGAGAGAUGACCUGAAUUUCAAGUGAAAAAUUACCAAGAUGUUUACUUUUUUAACAAAAUUACGUGACAUACCACACCAUUCAUUCUCUCUCUCUCUCNNNNNN